rnacentral:rRNA from 1 species
GUUCGAUUAUGGCUCAGAUUGAACGCUGGCGGGAUGCUUUACACAUGCAAGUCGAACGGCAGCACGGACUUCGGUCUGGUGGCGAGUGGCGAACAGGUGAGUAAUGUAUCGGAACGUGCUAGUAGCGGGGGAUAACUACGCGAAAGCGUAGCUAAUACCGCAUACGCCCUUCGGGGGAAAGCGGGGGACCUUCGGGCCUCGCACUAUUAGAGCGGCCGAUAUCCGGAUUAGCUAGUUGGUGGGGUAACGGCUCACCAAAACGACGAUCGUAGCUGGUUCCGAAGGACGACCAGCCACACUGGGACUGAGACACGGCCCAGACUCCUGCGGGAGGCAGCAGUGGGGAAUUUUGGACAAUGGGGAAACCCUGAUCCAGCCAUCCCGCGUGUGCGAUGAAGGCCUUCGGGUUGUAAAGCACUUUUGGCAGGAAAGAAACGGCACGGGAUAAUACCCCGUGCAACAGCCAGUACCUGCAGAAUAAGCACCGACUAACUACAUUGCCAGCAGCCGCGGUAAUACGUAGGGUGCAAGCGUUAAUCAGAUUACUGGGCGUAAAGCGUGCGCAGGCGGUUCCGGAAGAAGAUGUGAAAUCCCAGAGCUUAACUUUAGAACUGCAUUUUUAACUACCGAGCUAGAGUGUGUCAGAGGGAAGUGGAAUUCCGCGUGUAGCAGUGAAAUGCGUAGAUAUGCGGAGGAACACCGAUGGCGAAGGCAGCCUCCUGGGAUAACACUGACGCUCAUGCACGAAAGCGUGGGAGCAAACAGGAUUAGAUACCCUGGUAGUCCACGCCCUAAACGAUGUCAACUAGCUGUUGGGGCCUUCGGGCCUUGGUAGCGCAACUAACGCGUGAAGUUGACCGCCUGGGGAUACGGUCGCAAGAUUAAAACUCAAAGGAAUUGACGGGGACCCGCACAAGCGGUGGAUGAUGUGGAUUAAUUCGAUGCAACGCGAAACCUUACCUACCCUUGACAUGUCUGGAAUCCCGAAGAGAUUUGGGAGUGCUCGCAAGAGAACCGGAACACAGGUGCUGCAUGGCUGUCGUCAGCUCGUGUCGUGAGAUGUUCGGGUUAAGUCCCGCAACGAGCGCAACCCUUGUCAUUAGUUGCUACGAAAGGGCACUCUAAUGAGACUGCCGGUGACAAACCGGAGGAAGGUGGGGAUGACCAAAGUCCUCAUGGCCCUUAUGGGUAGGGCUUCACACGUCAUACAAUGGUCGGGACAGAGGUGCGCCAACUCGCGAGGGGGAGCCAAUCCCAGAAACCCGAUCGUAGUCCGGAUCGCAGUCUGCAACUCGACUGCGUGAAGUCGGAAUCGCUAGUAAUCGCGGAUCAGCAUGUCGCGGUGAAUACGUUCGGGUCUUGUACACACCGCCCGUCACACCAUGGGAGUGGGUUUUACCAAGUAGUUAGCCUAACCGUAAGGAGGCGAUUACGGUAAGUUCAUGACUGGGGUGAAGUCGUAACAAAGGUAG